GGCUCGUUGGUCUAGGGGUAUGAUUCUCGCUUAGGGUGCGAGAGGUCCCGGGUUCAUAUCCCGGGCGAGCCC
rnacentral:tRNA from 1 species